AUACGGAGGGUGCAAGCGUUGUUCGGAAUUACUGGGCUUAAAGCGCGUGCAGGCGGAAUAUCAGGUGUCAUGUGAAAUCCCCGGGCUCAACCCGGGAACUGCCUGGCAAACCGGUAUUCUUGAGGCAAGUAGAGGUGGGUGGAACAACUGGUGGAGCGGUGAAAUGCGUAGAUAUCAGUUGGAACGCCGGAGGCGAAAGCGGCUCACUGGGCUUGUUCUGACGCUGAGACGCGAAAGCGUGGGUAGCAAACAGGAUUAGAAACCCCAGUAGUCC
rnacentral:rRNA from 1 species